UGCAAGUCGAGCGGACCGAAGGGAGCUUGCUCCUUUAGGUUAGCGGCGGACGGGUGAGUAACACGUGGGCAACCUGCCCUGCAGACUGGGAUAACUUCGGGAAACCGGAGCUAAUACCGGAUAACACCGAAAACCGCAUGGUUUUCGGUUGAAAGGCGACUUUUAGCUGUCACUGCAGGAUGGGCCCGCGGCGCAUUAGCUAGUUGGUGAGGUAACGGCUCACCAAGGCGACGAUGCGUAGCCGACCUGAGAGGGUGACCGGCCACACUGGGACUGAGACACGGCCCAGACUCCUACGGGAGGCAGCAGUAGGGAAUCUUCCGCAAUGGACGAAAGUCUGACGGAGCAACGCCGCGUGAGCGAAGAAGGUCUUCGGAUCGUAAAGCUCUGUUGUCAGGGAAGAACAAGUGCCGUUCGAACAGGGCGGUACCUUGACGGUACCUGACGAGGAAGCCACGGCUAACUACGUGCCAGCAGCCGCGGUAAUACGUAGGUGGCAAGCGUUGUCCGGAAUUAUUGGGCGUAAAGCGCGCGCAGGCGGUUCCUUAAGUCUGAUGUGAAAUCUCGCGGCUCAACCGCGAGCGGCCAUUGGAAACUGGGGAACUUGAGUGCAGGAGAGGGGAGCGGAAUUCCACGUGUAGCGGUGAAAUGCGUAGAGAUGUGGAGGAACACCAGUGGCGAAGGCGGCUCUCUGGCCUGUAACUGACGCUGANGCGCGAAAGCGUGGGGAGCGAACAGGAUUAGAUACCCUGGUAGUCCACGCCGUAAACGAUGAGUGCUAAGUGUUAGANGGUAUCCACCCNUUUAGUGCUGCAGCAAACGCAUUAAGCACUCCGCCUGGGGAGUANNGCCGCAAGGCUGANCUCAAAGGNANUGANNGGGACCCNCACAAGCGGNGGAGCAUGUGGUU
rnacentral:rRNA from 1 species